rnacentral:lncRNA from 1 species
GUGUAUUACAUUAGUGCUUGCUAUUCAAAUCCUUGCAACUUUUUAGACUUGUACAUUGCAGACCAUCUAAAUAACUCAGCAAAAGCAAAACCUGCCUUGAGGCACUCUGUCCUCAGGUGAAUUUAAAUUUUGAAAAGGGGAGAUUAUUCUGACACAGUUUAAAGGCUUUUCUCCAAAAUCUGUCACAGGUAACAACUGUGUCCAGGCAGAAGUUCAUUCCUUCCACUAUGACAAAGAAGACAGACCAAAGAGAUCCAGUUCACACACUGAGCAUGCCUUGACUUCACUCAAAAAAGAACUGGUGAGAGACACUGAGCCUCAUUAACCAUCACAGCAAGCAAGGGGAAUGUAGACCUAUUGACCCACUAGCAAAGCCCUUGGGGGGUGUGGGGGUGUUGUAAUUAUGGGUUGAUAAAUUAAAAAGCUUUCACUGUAGUUUUCAAAGCAAGUCAAAAUUAUCUAAACAAAAUAGUUUCUGUGGUUGCCUUUUUUUUUUUGAGAUUUGCUCUGAUGUCCUAACCUUGAAGAUUUAUCCCUAAACUAAAUUUCUGAUUAUACUGUAAUUCUCUUUAAAAAUAAAUAAAUAAAU